rnacentral:rRNA from 1 species
AACGAACGCUGGCGGCAUGCCUAACACAUGCAAGUCGAACGGGACCUUCGGGUCUAGUGGCGCACGGGUGCGUAACGCGUGGGAACCUGCCCUUAGGUUCGGAAUAACUCCCCGAAAGGGGUGCUAAUACCGGAUAAUGUCUUCGGACCAAAGAUUUAUCGCCAUUGGAUGGGCCCGCGUUGGAUUCGCUGGUUGGUAGGGUAAAAGCCUACCAAGGCGACGAUCCAUAGCUGGUCUGAGAGGAUGACAAGCCACACUGGAACUGAGACACGGCCCAGAAUCCUACGGGAGGGAGCAGUGGGGAAUAUUGGGCAAUGGGCGAAAGUCUGACCCAGCAAUGCCGCGUGAGUGAUGAAGGCCUUAGGGUUGUAAAGCUCUUUUACCCGGGAUGAUAAUGACAGUACCGGGAGAAUAAGCUCCGGCUAACUCCGUG